AACUACAAAGUAGCAAUGCGAAUUGGCGCAAUAAUAUAAUAAAAUAAGAAAAUAAAUAUUAAAAAAACAACGCAUAAUUUGAAACAUGGCGGCAAAAACAAAACUCAAGAUUUCAUUGAUGCCAACCGUAAUGGCGUUAGCGUGUAAUAUUGUCAGUCGACGAAAGCAAUACUUACUUUCCAAAUAAUCCUCAAGAUACAACAUUUUGAUACAAUAUGAUACGAAGACCGUUAACAGAAAUAACUCUAAAACUAGACGUUUUGCAAGAGUACGAAGCCUACAGAAGAAAUCAAGCCAAUAGUUCAACAAGUAGGUGCGAAAUGCGGGAAGAAACACCUAAUCAUUUAUUUGUAUGUACUGGAGCGCCUAAACCUGUUGAAGAAAUACAGAAUAGGAUAGGAUACAUACCUAAAAAGCCUAGAGGACCCAGUACCGUAUAAAUAAAAUAAAACAGCUACUUUUUUCUCAUUAAGAUCAUUUAUUAUGUACUUAAAAUUUUCGAAUAAAAUACAUUUUUAGAUGCAAAACACAUGAUUCUUAAUAAUAAUAUAAUUACAUAGCAAGUGUGAGUAUAAUUCUUAAUAAGUACUCUGUGCAUUUAGGUAACGUAAAUACUUUUAAUGGUUAAAAUGCAGUUCCUUUUUUUUCAUGAUUAUGUGACGCAAGAAAUUAGCUUUUUGCAAGUAGCUGCGGUACUCGUAAUAAAACCUUAAUCGCUG
rnacentral:lncRNA from 1 species